rnacentral:rRNA from 1 species
GGGUUGUGAGGUUAAGCGACUAAGCGUACACGGUGGAUGCCCUGGCAGUCAGAGGCGAUGAAGGACGUGCUAAUCUGCGAUAAGCGUCGGUAAGGUGAUAUGAACCGUUAUAACCGGCGAUUUCCGAAUGGGGAAACCCAGUGUGUUUCGACACACUAUCAUUAACUGAAUCCAUAGGUUAAUGAGGCGAACCGGGGGAACUGAAACAUCUAAGUACCCCGAGGAAAAGAAAUCAACCGAGAUUCCCCCAGUAGCGGCGAGCGAACGGGGAGCAGCCCAGAGCCUGAAUCAGUGUGUGUGUUAGUGGAAGCGUCUGGAAAGGCGCGCGAUACAGGGUGACAGCCCCGUACACAAAAAUGCACAUGCUGUGAGCUCGAUGAGUAGGGCGGGACACGUGGUAUCCUGUCUGAAUAUGGGGGGACCAUCCUCCAAGGCUAAAUACUCCUGACUGACCGAUAGUGAACCAGUACCGUGAGGGAAAGGCGAAAAGAACCCCGGCGAGGGGAGUGAAAAAGAACCUGAAACCGUGUACGUACAAGCAGUGGGAGCACGCUUAGGCGUGUGACUGCGUACCUUUUGUAUAAUGGGUCAGCGACUUAUAUUCUGUAGCAAGGUUAACCGAAUAGGGGAGCCGAAGGGAAACCGAGUCUUAACUGGGCGUUAAGUUGCAGGGUAUAGACCCGAAACCCGGUGAUCUAGCCAUGGGCAGGUUGAAGGUUGGGUAACACUAACUGGAGGACCGAACCGACUAAUGUUGAAAAAUUAGCGGAUGACUUGUGGCUGGGGGUGAAAGGCCAAUCAAACCGGGAGAUAGCUGGUUCUCCCCGAAAGCUAUUUAGGUAGCGCCUCGUGAAUUCAUCUCCGGGGGUAGAGCGCUGUUUCGGCAAGGGGGUCAUCCCGACUUACCAACCCGAUGCAAACUGCGAAUACCGGAGAAUGUUAUCACGGGAGACACACGGCGGGUGCUAACGUCCGUCGUGAAGAGGGAAACAACCCAGACCGCCAGCUAAGGUCCCAAAGUCAUGGUUAAGUGGGAAACGAUGUGGGAAGGCCCAGACAGCCAGGAUGUUGGCUUAGAAGCAGCCAUCAUUUAAAGAAAGCGUAAUAGCUCACUGGUCGAGUCGGCCUGCGCGGAAGAUGUAACGGGGCUAAACCAUGCACCGAAGCUGCGGCAGCGACGCUGAUGCGUUGUUGGGUAGGGGAGCGUUCUGUAAGCCUGCGAAGGUGUGCUGUGAGGCAUGCUGGAGGUAUCAGAAGUGCGAAUGCUGACAUAAGUAACGAUAAAGCGGGUGAAAAGCCCGCUCGCCGGAAGACCAAGGGUUCCUGUCCAACGUUAAUCGGGGCAGGGUGAGUCGACCCCUAAGGCGAGGCCGAAAGGCGUAGUCGAUGGGAAACAGGUUAAUAUUCCUGUACUUGGUGUUACUGCGAAGGGGGGACGGAGAAGGCUAUGUUGGCCGGGCGACGGUUGUCCCGGUUUAAGCGUGUAGGCUGGUUUUCCAGGCAAAUCCGGAAAAUCAAGGCUGAGGCGUGAUGACGAGGCACUACGGUGCUGAAGCAACAAAUGCCCUGCUUCCAGGAAAAGCCUCUAAGCAUCAGGUAACAUCAAAUCGUACCCCAAACCGACACAGGUGGUCAGGUAGAGAAUACCAAGGCGCUUGAGAGAACUCGGGUGAAGGAACUAGGCAAAAUGGUGCCGUAACUUCGGGAGAAGGCACGCUGAUAUGUAGGUGAAGUCCCUUGCGGAUGGAGCUGAAAUCAGUCGAAGAUACCAGCUGGCUGCAACUGUUUAUUAAAAACACAGCACUGUGCAAACACGAAAGUGGACGUAUACGGUGUGACGCCUGCCCGGUGCCGGAAGGUUAAUUGAUGGGGUUAGCCGCAA